rnacentral:lncRNA from 1 species
CGAGAAUUCUGGGGUAGGUGGUUAGGAUGGGGCCAAGAAUUCUGGGGUAGGUGGUUAGGAUGGGACCGAGAAUUCUGGGGUAGGUGGUUAGGAUGGGACCGAGAAUUCUGGGGUAGGUGGUUACGAUGGGGCUGAGAAUUCUGGGAUAGGAUAGGUGGUUAGGAUGGGGCUGAGAAUUCUGGGAUAGAUGGUUAGGAUGGGGCUGGGAAUUCUGGGAUAGAUGGUUAGGAUGGGGCUGGGAAUUCUGGGGUAGAUGGUUAGGAUGGGGCUGGGAAUUCUGGGGUAGAAUUUUGGGUGACAUUGAGAAUCUGAGCCAGGCCAGAAGGCACAGUGGAAGCAUCACUGGUCAGGCCCAGCCUCCUCUGUCCUUUGAGGAGACUCUAGUUGUCUCUCCUGAUCUGCAGCCUGGGGGAAACUGAGGCACAGAUCUGAGACCUGGCUGUUGGGUUUGGGGUUUAUGGAUCCAGGGCAGCAUCCAGCUGACCCAUUGGCUUCCC